UGCCAAGUCACAGACAAUAUCUUCAAAUUU
rnacentral:piRNA from 1 species